rnacentral:tRNA from 1 species
GCCCGAGUGGCGAAACUGGUAAACGCAGAGGACUUAAAAUCCUUAGCCGUCAGGCGUGUGGGUUCGAUUCCCGCCUCGGGCA